UCUGAAAAAAUAAAUAAAUAAAUAAAAUAAAAUAAAUAGAAAUCCACAAAUCUGGAGAAUAAUGGGGGUUUCUUUGUUGUGAUCUUGAAGGAAAAGGCGAAUUCUUGAGGAUGGCUGCUGUCAAGGCGCUUUGCCGGCGAAAAGAUUGAUCACCAUUGCUGCCUCUCCACUCCUGCUCUAAAAAUAUCUACCCCCUUUUCCCAUUCGUUUUCAACUUUGGCGCAACAAAUUUAGUUCAGAAUUGCAUCAACUAAAAUUACAGCGUUGCUAGCUUUGUCGAAUCCUCAAUAGAAAUGCAUUUAUAGCCUAAGUGAAAAACACAAAAGCAAUCGGUGAGAAUUUCUAUUCGUAAACGCGACCUCACGAUGAACUAUUGGCUAUUUACACACUUUCAACAAACUUAGCGUUACACACACACACACACACACACACACACACACACACACACACACACACACACACCACCACACACACACACGUUGGUGCGGCUAUCCUUACGAGGACUCUCCAUAGACAUAAUGAUUUUUAUUCUGUAUGAACUAUAGAUUCUAUCCCCUAACCCUACACCUAAACCUAAUCCUCACAAAAAACUUUCUGCAUUUUUAAAUUAAAAAAAAAAAAACGAAAAAAAAAAGAAAAAAAAAAAACCUUUAGUAUGUUUUUUAAGCUAUUUGAAUUAUGGGGACACUAGACAUGUCCUCAUAAACCACAUUAUAGCAUAAUACCCUAGUAAUUACCAGUUUGUAACCUAAAGAAUGUCCUCAUCAACCCCCCCCCCCACACACACACACACACUUAUAUUCUUACUGUACUGAAUAUUUCUCUUCCAUCUUAAGCCUUUUAAAGCCUGUAAAUAAGCAAAAUUGAAUAAUUGUCAAACCUGGAUUUUACUGCAAAUAUUCGCGCGUUAAUGUCCUGUGGUUUCAGCAAUCCUUCAGAGGCUGCGUAAAAUUCUAAUUCAAGGUAAACACUUCUACAAAAAAUAAUAAUUUGCCGAAUAGGAGAUUCCCAUCCAUUACCGCACAAAUAUGGCAGAUAAUCUCACCAUCACUCUUGUACAACCUUAUUUAUGUGCUUUAUAAAAAUAAAUAUUUCUACAGAUACAUCUCUUGUCUGUUACUCUUGUCAAAAAUGCUAAGAUUAAUGACCCUUGAUUGUAAAUAUGCAAGAAGCCAUAUUGUGGAUGUGCUUAUCAGUCAAGGCCUGUGGAUUACAUCACUGCAUUUGGAUGGUUAUUGUCUAUUGUCACUUUAUCUCUCACGACAAACAGGACUGUCCGAGCACAUGGCAACCGGGGGCUUUUUUUAAAUUAUUAUUUCAUACAUGCUGCUAUAAGACCUGAAUUAUAAUAACCUGCUGUAUUUUUUUUAUUUUUUAUGAAUUCAGACAAAUAUUGCUUUCUUUUGCCACCAGGCCACGAAUUUCGAUUGGAUGAGAUGAGUCAUGUGACCAGGAAUUGGCUGCAAUUUCGCCCAUAGUCUUCAGUUUAGUAGACCCUGGUCCCCAUACGCUAGUAAUAUCACCAAUAUACACAAUUAUUAAAGCCCGCAAAUGCAGUCUUAGCAGGUACGCAAAAUAAAAUCUAGCGUUUUGGAUGUUAUUUUUUGCGAAUGUUGGUGUCGCUGGACGCCCUUCUUGCCCAGGCGAAGCGAUGAAUUUUGAAUUUGAGAGGGAGAUUGGGUUCAUCAACAGCCAGCCUUCCCUUGCAGAGUGCCUGACGUCUUUCCCCGCUGUCCUGGAGUCAUUUCAAACUUCAUCAAUCAAGGACUCGACAGCAAUUCCACCUCCUUUCGAGCACACCAUCCCUAGUCUGAGUCCCUGCACAGGCAACCAGGCGCGACCAAGGAGCCAAAAGCGAACAGCCUCCAAUGGCCUCCAGCUCCGGACACAAACAGCACCGACGACGCUGCACCAGCAAGGCCUGGCCCCGCUGUCGGGCAGCGCGCCCCUGGCCCACGAGUUUCCAUGGAUGAAAGAGAAAAAGUCCUCGAAGAAGUGCCCAAAGCCCGCAGCCCCUGCAGCAGCAGCAGCAGCCUCUCCCUCUCAGGCAUCCUCCGGUUACACAACCGCGAGACUGGACUCCCCAACCGAAGCUCAAGGUGGACUGGAUAAUGGUAGCGGUUCACGAAGGCUGAGGACCGCAUACACCAACACGCAGCUACUUGAACUGGAGAAGGAGUUUCACUUUAACAAAUACCUUUGUCGGCCACGACGCGUUGAAAUAGCAGCACUUUUGGAUCUAACCGAGCGCCAAGUCAAAGUCUGGUUUCAAAACCGACGCAUGAAGCACAAACGGCAAACUACGCACCACCGUGAUGGGCAAGAAGGCGAGCCCAGCGGUUUUGAGCCCGUUGAAGGAACCGAGGCUGCUUCACCUUACUCGAGCCAGUCUUUGGAUGUAUCUGGUUCUGGCUCUGGUUCGACGGCAGCUUCCGAGAGUGAUACGUGCCCAACAACUGCCUCCUACACGAACACUGCGGACAAAAGCCAGCCCACGCCUGAGGAGGGCCAGGCGAACCAGCCGGAGCCUACAUCUGUUCCUGACACAGCGGUUCACUCCCCCCCGUAUCCAACGCCUACUACAGAUAACCCCACCACAAUGGGUGAGGGCCGCGCAGCUGGGCCGGAGCAUUCGUUCACAGAGCCGCAGGAUGCCACCUCUCUACCCGAUUUGAAUUUCUUUUCGACGGACUCCUGCCUACAAAUUUCGGACGCUUUAUCGCCGAGUUUGCAGAGCUCACUGGACAGUCCCGUUGACUUCUCCGAGGAAGAUUUUGACUUGUUUACGAGCACCCUUUGUACCAUAGAUUUGCAACAUUUACAGUUCUGAACGACAGUAAUAAUGAUAUCAAAAAGCAUAAAAGAACAAUCGAAGUCAAAUUUAUCACAAUAUCAUGUACCGCAACAUUCCUAAAAUAAGAGAGAAAAAGAGAAGAAACAUCUACCUAAAGGUUUUCUGCUUUCAAACAAAUAGGUGUGACACAAAGCCCAAACGGAGACAAAUUGUCCAUUAUUUUGAAAACACAAUGAUGUAAUCUUUUGAAUACACAUCGGGAUGGCCCCUGUCGAAGUUUCAGACAUUAUAUUUAGAUUGUAUAUUAUGUCUGCAGGACCAGAUCCUUAGCAUGAGUAAUAUAGAGGUGAGACAGAGAUUUUACAUACCAACAUAUCUCCAAACAAGACAAACAACUUCUACCCUUGCCCUGAGGCCAAAUAACUUUGAGCACAGAGCAACAGCAUUGGCAAGGCUUCCUCUCUGGGCCAGUGAAGUCUAAAAUAAGAAGAGAUGUGGUGGUGUCGGGAUUUUCUCACAUGAGAAAAUGGGCCAAUGUUUACAGAGGUGCAUCCUGGGUAAUGCUAAGCCUGAAUCAGUGGUGGGACCGGCCAAGAUUAAAGUGGAAAAAUCUCUUGCCAUUUCAGUCAAACCACCACAAAGGCUCAGUUUCAGUGGUUGGGAAAGUACUUUGUCGUUGAACAACAAUAAUAAAAAUGGUAACAACAAAACAUUAUCAAUGCUUAUUUUAGAAAGUCCUAAUAAGACUUUAGGGUCAGCAGAACAAAAACAAUGUAUUAGAUAUAUCAUUUUUUUGUUAUGGGCUCUCUUUUUAGUUUUCCUUAUGUUAUGUAAAGCAAACUUUGUUUGUUCACCAAAUGCUGACUGAUAUCCAGCUACUGGCAAAGUAAUAAGCUUGAGAAAAUGAAGCAUCACACUAUACAAAUGGA